rnacentral:rRNA from 3 species
UCUGGUAAUGAUGGCAGAGAGGUCACACCCGUUCCCAUACCGAACACGGAAGUUAAGCUCUCUAGCGCCGAUGGUAGUUGGGACCUUGUCCCUGUGAGAGUAGG